ncrna:Branchiostoma floridae (Florida lancelet) microRNA bfl-mir-4873 precursor
GCACUGGGGUGUGUUCCCACCUUCUGAUGUUGUUUAGUCAUGUGAUACAACAUCCCAGGGCGGGGCACAUCCCAGGCU